rnacentral:rRNA from 2 species
AAACCAACAGGGAUUGCCUUAGUAACGGCGAGUGAAGCGGCAAAAGCUCAAAUUUGAAAUCUGGCACUUUCAGUGUCCGAGUUGUAAUUUGAAGAAGGUAACUCUGGAGUUGGCCCUUGUCUAUGUUCCUUGGAACAGGACGUCACAGAGGGUGAGAAUCCCGUGCGAUGGGGUGUCCAAUUCUAUGUAGAGUGCUUUCGAAGAGUCGAGUUGUUUGGGAAUGCAGCUCUAAGUGGGUGGUAAAUUCCAUCUAAAGCUAAAUAUUGGCGAGAGACCGAUAGCGAACAAGUACAGUGAUGGAAAGAUGAAAAGAACUUUGAAAAGAGAGUGAAAAAGUACGUGAAAUUGUUGAAAGGGAAGGGCUUGAGAUCAGACUCGGUAUUUUGCGAUCCUAUCCUUCGUGGAGAGGUUUCAUUUGCAGCUUACCGGGCCAGCAUCGGUUUGGAUGGUAGGAUAAUGACAUUGGAAUGUGGCUUUUCGGAGUGUUAUAGCCUUUGUUGAUACUGCCUAUCUAGACCGAGGACUGCGUCUUUGACUAGGAUGCUGGCAUAAUGAUCUUAAGCCGC